GAUGAACGCUGGCGGCGUGCCUAAUACAUGCAAGUCGAGCGAACAGAUAAGGAGCUUGCUCCUUUGACGUUAGCGGCGGACGGGUGAGUAACACGUGGAUAACCUACCUAUAAGACUGGGAUAACUUCGGGAAACCGGAGCUAAUACCGGAUAACAUAUUGAACCGCAUGGUUCAUUGGUGAAAUGCGGCUUUGCUGUCAGUUAUAGAUGGAUCCGCGCCGUAUUGGCUGGUUGGGAAGGUAACGGCUUACCAAGGCAACUAUACGUAGCCGACCGGUGAGGGGGAUAGCCGACACUGGAACGUGACCGCGGUCAUGGCUCCUACGAGAGGCAGCAGACGGGAAUGUGCGGCAGUAGGCGAAAGCCUGGCGGAGCGACGCCAAGUGAGUUGUGAAGGUCUUCGGAUCGUAAAGCUCUGUUAUCAGGGAAAAACAAAUGUCUAAGUAAAUGUGCACAUCUUGACGGUAACUGGUCAGAAAGCAACGGCUAACUACGUG
rnacentral:rRNA from 1 species